AGAUUGAACGCUGGCGGCAGGCCUAACACAUGCAAGUCGAGCGGCAGCACGGGUACUUGUACCUGGUGGCGAGCGGCGGACGGGUGAGUAAUGCCUAGGAAUCUGCCUGGUAGUGGGGGAUAACGCUCGGAAACGGACGCUAAUACCGCAUACGUCCUACGGGAGAAAGCAGGGGACCUUCGGGCCUUGCGCUAUCAGAUGAGCCUAGGUCGGAUUAGCUAGUUGGUGGGGUAAUGGCUCACCAAGGCGACGAUCCGUAACUGGUCUGAGAGGAUGAUCAGUCACACUGGAACUGAGACACGGUCAGACUCCGACGGGAGCAGCAGGUGGGAAUAGUUGGACAAGUGGGGACGAAAGCCUAGAUCCAGCCAAGUCGGCCGCGGUGUGGUAGAAGGUAAGUUCGUUACGGAUUAGGUAAAGCGUAACGUUUUAAGGUGGGAAGGAAGGUCUAAGUUUAACCCUAAGUUACGUUAUUCGUUUGGUUUUA
rnacentral:rRNA from 1 species